GUUUAAGAUAACCGAUCUGUGCAACUAUUAUCAUAACUCAUAAAGCCAUACUAUCUUUUCUAUGGGUAAUUUGCAUAAAAUAAACUCCAUGUUAUAAUAUAGGUAUGAUAUCAACAGGUGCAAUUCUGUCUCAGAUUGCGCAAAUCUGGCGCUGGUCUUUCAUCGUUUCUGAUUGGUUUAUAAUUUGUUUUGUGUAUUUUAGUCACGACACGUUCUUUU